CAAAAAAACAGCAGAACUUAAUGCAAAAGUUUUCGGUUUUAUUUUCCCGCAUUAAGUUAAUUGCCAGGCAGUGCCGAGAACCAGGCCAUAUAGCACAAAGUACCCAAUAGUAUCCCAAUUCGAACAGUAACCCACUCAGAUAUGAGUGAUACCGAUGCGGUGAGUUUUCAAGUACCCAUUCCGAGUAUAUAUAUUUUGGAGCUGCACUUAGAGCACACACAAAUUCGCCCAUGCACCAAUGAUUUAUGAGCAUAAUUUGCAUAAGGAAUGAUCCAGGUUAAUGGAUGUAUUAUUCCGCCGACCUUGCACAUACAUCAUUGUCAGUGGAAGGAAAGAACCCUUUGCGAAGAACCAACCAAAUCAAACAGCGAUUUCUUGUGGCCCGUCGAUUUUGGGCCUUAGAACUGCCAAAAACUUUUGUUGAAUCAAUAAGCCACAAAAACAAUUUGGGUCAUGUUACAGCUGGCAACCGAAUUUCAUGACAAAAUUCCCUAAUGGUAACCAAAGACCAACCAAAUACCCAACCGAAUAUCCUCGUAUGUACAUAUAAACCCAAGUAGCUGAGAAUACCAAAACAAUAAAAUGUAAACAAAUGCAGAAAGAGCCAUCAAAUUUGAAAGCACCCACUCAAUGUGAACUAUAUUGAUACGUCUGCUCCGCCGAUACACCGAUACACGAGCUUUAGCUUCACCAUUGCCACUUGGCACAUGGCACAUGGCACUUGGCACCCCCACAGUUUUGCAGACGUAAAAGUAAGCCCACAACGAUAUAUGGCCAUACAUAUGCAAAUGAUAUGGGCCAGUUUACCGGGGCAGGAGCAUGCGGGUAUAUAUCGAUGGCAUUGGCCACCAAAAAGCGACUCCGCCACGUAUUGGGUUACCCGACACUUGCACAUUUCUGCACCGACACCGCAGCCGAGAAGUUCUAGUCCUUCGCUAGGAUGUAUAGCACGGCAAAGGAUCGCUCCAGCUCCAGCCAGGAGGUUUCUCCACAGGAUUACCCAGUGCAGCAGCAGCGCGCUCAGUCCAAGUCCGAGUACGGCGUGGAUUCCGAAUCUGUAGAUCGUCCUUCGCAACCCGCCCAGGACUAUGUGCCUUCCAAGUCCACCGAUUCAUCUGUGGAACCAAAGAAAGAACCGCUAAGAACUCAGUUAAACACAGGCUAUUCCAAUAGCAACACCACUUUGGAUAGCUCAGAUUCAGUGUCCAAACAGCAGCUACGAUCUCAGCCGAUUCCAGAGUACCAGAGCAAUGCAUAUGAGGCACCUAGGGAUGAGCGCAGCCAACUGCAGCCACAGAGAUCCCAGCCAGCUGCCGAUUACUCCGUAUACGAACGGCAGCAACGUCCGCCGCCGAGCACAAUAGACUACACCACCGGCUAUAAUGCACCACCACCACCAGCACCCAAAGAUCGCACCACCCUGUCACGCAGCAACUCGCGACCCACCCUCUCACUCAAUCCCAAGCUCCAAACUCUACCCAAUCCCGAGUAUGUGCGACCACCACCACAGAACUUUGUCUUGCCACCGCAGAUGCGUGCCGCCGUGGGGCCACCACAGCCGCGUCCACCGUUCGCCGGCGCCAGGCCGAUGGUCGGAAUGGGACCACGUCCACCCAUGCCACCGAACAUGGCGGCCAGGCCACCGCCGCUGCGCACCACAGACAGCAAGAGCAAUCUGCUGAUGGGUCCACCGAUGCGGCCGGGCAUGCCACCGCAACUCAAUAUGCAGCAGGCUCGCCUGCCCAAUGCCGGCGGACAGCUGAGUCCGCCGGGCCAAGGACCACCAAGGCCACCAGGCGGAUUUCCCUGGAAUCCAGCCGGGGCACCGGGCAUGCCGCCAGGAGCACCUGGCAUGCCGCCUGGGGCACGACCUCCGCAGAAUAUGACGCGACCGCCGCCACCCACUUUUGCACGCCCGCCGCCGGGUCAGCCGCUGCAGGCACCCUUCAAUCGAGCGCCCUUCAACCAGCCGCCCAUGCAACCGCAACCGCAACAACAGCAGCAACCACAACCACCACAGCAGCUGCAAAUGCAGCAGCAACAGCAACAACAGCACAUGCAACAGCAGCAGCAGCAACUACGCCCACUUUCGGCAGCCAGUGCACACAACAACAACGAUGACGACGACGACGUGGUCAUGGGUCCGGCGGUGACCCCGCUCAAGAGCUUCAAUCCCAGGCCCGAUCCCAUGGGCGAGCCCCUCCUGGAGGACAUGGAGCCGCCCUUCGAGACGAGCUCCCCAGCCGGAGAAUCCAAAAAGGGGCUCGGCUUUAAGGGUGACAAUGACAGCGGCGUGGAUGAGUCCACUCAGGAGAAGGAUCGCAACGGACCCAACUCGCCCAGUUCGCCCGUGAAAACGCCCACAUCGACCUCAUCGAAGCCGGACAAGUCGGGCACGUCGCGACCACCGAGUGCCACGCCCUCGAACAAAUCAGCACCCAAGUCGCGCAGCGCCUCCAAGAAUCGCUUGCUCCUCAAGACCCCCGAACCCGAGCCAGUCAAGAAAGUUCCAAUGAACAAGGUACAAGUGGGACAUGCGCCUUCGCCCAAUCUGAAGGCGGUGCGCUCCAAGAUCGGAUCCCUGGACAAUGCCACCUAUAAGCCGGGUGGUGGCCACGUGAAAAUCGAGUCCAAGAAGAUCGACAUCAAGGCGGCACCGCGCAUCGAGGCCAAGAACGACAAGUACAUGCCAAAGGGCGGCGAAAAGAAGAUAGUUACAACAAAGUUGCAGUGGAACGCCAAGUCCAAAAUCGGUUCGCUGGAGAAUGCCGCCCACAAGCCGGGAGGCGGGGACAAGAAGAUCGAGACCCUGAAGAUGGACUUCAAGGACAAGGCCAAGCCGAAGGUCGGCUCGACGGCCAAUGUGAAGCAUCAGCCGGGUGGCGGAGACAUCAAGGAUAACAACCCCAAGGAUAUCCAAACGCAAAAACUAGAAAUUAAGGCACAAAGCAAAGUUGGCUCUUUGGAUAAUGUAAAGCACAAGCCCGGUGGCGGUGAGAAGAAGAUUUUCGAUGAUAAGGAUUAUUUGAAAAAUGUUGAACACUCUGUUGCACUGACAACACCACCAACACAGGAAUAUAUAUACAAUUUUUAUUAGGCUAGUCAUACGAAACUAAGUGCAUUAAAUUCGAAAUUCGUACCGAGUUACGUCCAUUAGAGUUAUUUAUCGCCUAUUGCUACUUAUAACUACCACAUCAUAUACUCGAUGCAAUCCGAAUGCAAUGCGGUUUUAAACAAUAUAUAGAUACAUUCGAUUUGAUCACGCAAAUCCCAGUCCACUACCAUCCAUGACGGCUUCUGGCGCUGAUGAAAAUUUAAAUCAACAAAGCUAAAUGCCGAAAUGCAUGUCAAGCUGAAUCUGAAAGUGUAUCCGAAUCCGAAUCCGAAUGUGAAUCUAAAUCUGACUCCUUCUUUGCAAGCUAAGAUCGAAACGAAAGUGAAAUGAACACACUAAGCAAGCAGCUAAUUUGAAAUGUACUAUCUAAGCAAAAUCCACACAAAGCAAAACGAGAGUUAUGCGAUAAUUCCCACACACCCUCACAUGCCAGUAAAUGCGAUCAGAUCAUCGAUCAGAUCAAUUCGAUAGAGGUGCAAGCACGCAAUGAGAUGCAGAUACUCGUAUGUACAUCUACACAAGCAACACCACCAUCACCAUCCCACAUAGAAGCGGUAUUUGGUAUACAAUCGAAAGUAUAUUUGACUAGUUGAGCAAUGCACUCUUUAUCAUCAGAUACCAGACAUGAGUUAUAUAUCUCAAUGUAUUACCAGAACUUCAUAUAUACAUACAAAUAUAUAUAUAUACAUAUAUACAUAAAAGUAUCUAAAUAUUUAAGCGAAUUAUACAAGAAUCGUACGAGUAAACAGUAUGCUUAGUUGAAAAUGUUACCACUUGACGUCUAAAUGUUAAACGACUAAGAUAAUGCAGCCAUUUAGAUACUUUUGCGACCAGUGACCAGUGACAAGAAAAACCAAAACCAAACCGAACAGAACCGAUACAGAUACAGAACAGAUAAAACCACGUAUAAGCGUACUUUUACUAUUAAUUUGUAUCUUAUUAGUCAAGCGCAUCAUUCUCACGAUUUAUUUACACCCUGUUACAAAAUGUAAGAACAAUGGCAAAAUUUAAGCAAAUAAACAAACAAAAAAAACGUU
rnacentral:misc_RNA from 1 species